GAUGGAAGAACGUAGCGAAAUGCGAUGAGUAAUGUGAAUUGCAGAAUCCAGUGAAUCAUCGAAUCUUUGAACGCACAUUGCGCCCGCCAGCAUUCUGGCGGGCAUGCCUGUUCGAGCGUCAUUUCAACCCUCGACCUCCCCUUGGGGAGGUCGGCGUUGGGGACCGGCAGCACACCGCCGGCCCUGAAAUGGAGUGGCGGCCCGUCUGCGGCGACCUCUGCGUAGUAAUACAGCUCGCACCGGAACCCCGACGCGGCCACGCCGUAAAACACCCAACUUCUGAACGUUGACCUCGAAUCAGGUAGGACUACCCGCUGAACUUAAGCAUAUCAAUAAGCGGAGGA
rnacentral:misc_RNA from 1 species